UUCAAACCAACUUCCUAAUUCAAACGUGAAUCCUGAUCACGUGAUCACGACCAAGCGCUUCGUAAACAGCUGAAAAUCUAAUAACAUAAUGAGACCAACCUUCGUGGUGCCGAUGUGCUGAGACAUCAAUGGUUGCAGGAAUGAGUUCGGCAGACAACUUGUCCUCACGCCACCGAAGAAAUCCUCGCAGGACCUGUCGCACCAUUUCUGAAGAUUCUGCUAAACUUAAACCUGUUUCAAGCGACAAAGCUUCCACCUUGCAUAGUAAAGAAACCACAGCAUUUCAAGGUCUGAAUACUGCAGAAUCAUGCAGACAAAGAACGACCAAGAAGGAAAAGGAGAAACCUCAAAAAGCAAACCAAAGUGCUCCUCCUGACUCAUCGGCUUGUUUACAAAAUUCACCAUAUGAACUAAUGGGUAUAAAUGGACUGUCUUCAAAGUCACAUAAACCUGAGCCAACGUUGCCUCAAAAAAUUACUACCCCCAAAUGCCCAUCAAAGACUUCAAAAAGAUCUCACAAGGGAAGGAAAAAGAAAUGUGUUCAACCCAAUGAGAAAGAAGUAGCUGCUAGCAAAGCUUGUGCAGAUGGACUGGACAAUUGUGUGCACAAUUCAUGCCCAGAACAACUCUUAAGCUCUCCAAAAACAAAAGGGACACAUUAUCGGCACUCUAAAAAACCUCAAAACCAUCAAACCCCUUCUGAUGUUUCUACAGGGCUUCACACAUGUACUACAUUAUCUCCUCGUCAUCACAAGGAGUUAUCCCCCUGCCACACUAAUAGUGAUUGUACUUCCAGACCACGCACCCCAAAACGGAGCUGUGUCCAGUCCAGCCCUCUCUUAAGCUCCACACCGAACUCAGACCUCCACCCCCUGUCUCCAAAAAGAGCUGAGAAUAGUUGCACACCACAAAGUCAUCAGAAAGUCAAAGUGUCCAGUCUAAUAAAGUCACCUCUUCCGGAGGCUACACCAUCAAGACGGGUCAGACCUCUGGGAAUCGCGGGA